GGUUAAGCGACUAAGCGUACACGGUGGAUGCCCUGGCAGUCAGAGGCGAUGAAGGACGUGCUAAUCUGCGAUAAGCGCCGGUAAGGUGAUAUGAACCGUUAUAACCGGCGAUUUCCGAAUGGGGAAACCCAGUGUGAUUCGUCACACUAUCAUUAACUGAAUCCAUAGGUUAAUGAGGCGAACCGGGGGAACUGAAACAUCUAAGUACCCCGAGGAAAAGAAAUCAACCGAGAUUCCCCCAGUAGCGGCGAGCGAACGGGGAGGAGCCCAGAGCCUGAAUCAGCAUGUGUGUUAGUGGAAGCGUCUGGAAAGGCGCGCGAUACAGGGUGACAGCCCCGUACACAAAAGCGCAUGUGCUGUGAGCUCGAUGAGUAGGGCGGGACACGUGGUAUCCUGUCUGAAUAUGGGGGGACCAUCCUCCAAGGCUAAAUACUCCUGACUGACCGAUAGUGAACCAGUACCGUGAGGGAAAGGCGAAAAGAACCCCGGCGAGGGGAGUGAAAAAGAACCUGAAACCGUGUACGUACAAGCAGUGGGAGCACCCUUUGGGGUGUGACUGCGUACCUUUUGUAUAAUGGGUCAGCGACUUAUAUUCUGUAGCAAGGUUAACCGUAUAGGGGAGCCGCAGGGAAACCGAGUCUUAACCGGGCGUUAAGUUGCAGGGUAUAGACCCGAAACCCGGUGAUCUAGCCAUGGGCAGGUUGAAGGUUGGGUAACACUAACUGGAGGACCGAACCGACUAAUGUUGAAAAAUUAGCGGAUGACCUGUGGCUGGGGGUGAAAGGCCAAUCAAACCGGGAGAUAGCUGGUUCUCCCCGAAAGCUAUUUAGGUAGCGCCUCGUGAAUUCAUCUCCGGGGGUAGAGCACUGUUUCGGCUAGGGGGCCAUCCCGGCUUACCAACCCGAUGCAAACUGCGAAUACCGGAGAAUGUUAUCACGGGAGACACACGGCGGGUGCUAACGUCCGUCGUGAAGAGGGAAACAACCCAGACCGCCAGCUAAGGUCCCAAAGUCAUGGUUAAGUGGGAAACGAUGUGGGAAGGCCCAGACAGCCAGGAUGUUGGCUUAGAAGCAGCCAUCAUUUAAAGAAAGCGUAAUAGCUCACUGGUCGAGUCGGCCUGCGCGGAAGAUGUAACGGGGCUAAACCAUGCACCGAAGCUGCGGCAGCGACACUGAGGCGUUGUUGGGUAGGGGAGCGUUCUGUAAGCCUGUGAAGGUGGCCUGUGAGGGUUGCUGGAGGUAUCAGAAGUGCGAAUGCUGACAUAAGUAACGAUAAAGCGGGUGAAAAGCCCGCUCGCCGGAAGACCAAGGGUUCCUGUCCAACGUUAAUCGGGGCAGGGUGAGUCGACCCCUAAGGCGAGGCCGAAAGGCGUAGUCGAUGGGAAACGGGUUAAUAUUCCCGUACUUGGUGUUACUGCGAAGGGGGGACGGAGAAGGCUAUGUUGGCCGGGCGACGGUUGUCCCGGUUUAAGCGUGUAGGUGUGUGUUCCAGGUAAAUCCGGUUCACUUUAACACUGAGGCGUGAUGACGAGGCACUACGGUGCUGAAGCAACAAAUGCCCUGCUUCCAGGAAAAGCCUCUAAGCAUCAGGUAACAUCAAAUCGUACCCCAAACCGACACAGGUGGUCAGGUAGAGAAUACCAAGGCGCUUGAGAGAACUCGGGUGAAGGAACUAGGCAAAAUGGUGCCGUAACUUCGGGAGAAGGCACGCUGACACGUAGGUGAAGUGAUUUACUCACGGAGCUGAAGUCAGUCGAAGAUACCAGCUGGCUGCAACUGUUUAUUAAAAACACAGCACUGUGCAAACACGAAAGUGGACGUAUACGGUGUGACGCCUGCCCGGUGCCGGAAGGUUAAUUGAUGGGGUCAGCGCAAGCGAAGCUCCUGAUCGAAGCCCCGGUAAACGGCGGCCGUAACUAUAACGGUCCUAAGGUAGCGAAAUUCCUUGUCGGGUAAGUUCCGACCUGCACGAAUGGCGUAAUGAUGGCCAGGCUGUCUCCACCCGAGACUCAGUGAAAUUGAACUCGCUGUGAAGAUGCAGUGUACCCGCGGCAAGACGGAAAGACCCCGUGAACCUUUACUAUAGCUUGACACUGAACAUUGAGCCUUGAUGUGUAGGAUAGGUGGGAGGCUUUGAAGUGUGGACGCCAGUCUGCAUGGAGCCGACCUUGAAAUACCACCCUUUAAUGUUUGAUGUUCUAACGUGGACCCGUAAUCCGGGUUGCGGACAGUGUCUGGUGGGUAGUUUGACUGGGGCGGUCUCCUCCUAAAGAGUAACGGAGGAGCACGAAGGUUGGCUAAUCCUGGUCGGACAUCAGGAGGUUAGUGCAAUGGCAUAAGCCAGCUUGACUGCGAGCGUGACGGCGCGAGCAGGUGCGAAAGCAGGUCAUAGUGAUCCGGUGGUUCUGAAUGGAAGGGCCAUCGCUCAACGGAUAAAAGGUACUCCGGGGAUAACAGGCUGAUACCGCCCAAGAGUUCAUAUCGACGGCGGUGUUUGGCACCUCGAUGUCGGCUCAUCACAUCCUGGGGCUGAAGUAGGUCCCAAGGGUAUGGCUGUUCGCCAUUUAAAGUGGUACGCGAGCUGGGUUUAGAACGUCGUGAGACAGUUCGGUCCCUAUCUGCCGUGGGCGCUGGAGAACUGAGGGGGGCUGCUCCUAGUACGAGAGGACCGGAGUGGACGCAUCACUGGUGUUCGGGUUGUCAUGCCAAUGGCACUGCCCGGUAGCUAAAUGCGGAAGAGAUAAGUGCUGAAAGCAUCUAAGCACGAAACUUGCCCCGAGAUGAGUUCUCCCUGAGACUUAGAGUCUCCUGAAGGAACGUUGAAGACGACGACGUUGAUAGGCCGGGUGUGUAAGCGCAGCGAUGCGUUGAGCUAACCGGUACUAAUGAACCGUGAGGCUUAACCUU
rnacentral:rRNA from 1 species